ACGUAUUAUUAAAUCAUCUCUUUCAGCUCCAUAACGAGAAAGGCGAGAGUAGAAAGGAGGCAGUUUUACAAGCACUUGUGGACUUAAUUUCAGACGACGACAAAAGAAAAUUGGCGAAAAUAAUCUAUCUCAAGUGUUAUGAUGACGUAACUAAAAGUGGAGCCACUGGUAACGAACACGCUCGGAAAAUUGUCAGUUGCUGUUUCCAAUUAUGUAUCUCCUUGACGAAGUCGAAUAAACCGAAGUGGAAUAAAGCGUAAACCGGACCCUUUUUCAAGUUGACCGUAUAAAAUUCUGUUGAUUCAUAGAAUCAUCUCUAAUUACUUCAAUGAUGCAUUGUAAAUGAACAACAGCUAAUUGGUGGGAAGGGAAAAAUUGUCGAAAUAAAUGAAGUCAAAAUAGACAAAAA